UACGAAGGGGGCUAGCGUUGCUCGGAAUUAUUGGGCGUAAAGAGCUCGUAGGCGGUGUGUCGCGUCGGCCGUGAAAACCUGGGGCUUAACUCUGGGCUUGCGGUCGAUACGGGCAUCACUUGAGUUCGGCAGGGGAGACUGGAAUUCCUGGUGUAGCGGUGAAAUGCGCAGAUAUCAGGAGGAACACCGGUGGCGAAGGCGGGUCUCUGGGCCGAUACUGACGCUGAGGAGCGAAAGCGUGGGGAGCGAACAGG
rnacentral:rRNA from 1 species